rnacentral:rRNA from 1 species
GACGAACGCUGGCGGCGUGCUUAACACAUGCAAGUCGAACGGAAAGGCCCUGCUUUUGUGGGGCGCUCGAGUGGCGAACGGGUGAGUAACACGUGAGUAACCUGCCCUUGACUUUGGGAUAACUUUAGGAAACUGGGGCUAAUACCGGAUAGGAGCUCCUGCUGCAUGGUGGGGGUUGGAAAGUUUCGGCGGUUGGGGAUGGACUCGCGGCUUAUCAGCUUGUUGGUGGGGUAGUGGCGUACCAAGGCUUUGACGGGUAGCCGGCCUGAGAGGGUGACCGGGCACAAUGGGACUGAGAGACGGCGCAGACUCCUACGGUAGGCAGCAGUGGGGAAUAUUGCGGAAUGGGCGGGAGCCUGAUGCAGCAACGCCGCGUUCGGGAUAACGGCCUUCGGGGUGUAAACCGCUUUGGCAGGUGACGUAGAGUGCGUGACGGUAAUUAGUAAAGAAGCCCCGGCUAACUACGUG